rnacentral:lncRNA from 1 species
UUAUUGAACCAUAAAAAGGUGAAAAGUCUCUGUGACUUCUCUGUGUAGCGGUCUGUAUAAUAAGGAAGAACUGAAGGAAGCUACCAGACCAAUUAAGAGAUUUUAUCUAAAGGCAGAGUAAUGCUAAGGGCAGUGGCACUGACAAAAGUGGAGGAAAAAGUCUGUGAUCAUUUGGGAGACAGAAUAGGAAGUGCUUGGUCAUGAGAUGUGAAAGAAAAGGGGAAGCAGAGGAAAAACAGACCUGCUCAGGUUCUGCUGGUGAAGACUUGGUACGUAGUGGUGCCUUCCUCCUGGCAGAGAAUGUAGGAGGAGAAAUGGGUAAGGAGGAAAAGAUAGUUUUUUACUCUCAGUGUCACAUUAAAAUGGAACUCUCUGAUCAAAAGUGAAUACAGGCCAGGCGCGGUGCCUCACGCCUGUAAUCCCAGCACUUUGGGAGGCCGAGGUGGGUGGAUCAUCUGAGGUCAGGAGUUGGAUACUAGCCCAGCCAACAUGGUGAAACCCCAUCUCUACUAAAAUAGUACAAAAAUCAGUCGGGCGUGGUGGUGGAUGCCUUGGGAGGCUGAGGCAGGAAAAUCACUUGAAUUUGGGAGUUGAAGGUUGGAAUGAGCAGAGAUCCACCACUGCACUCCAGCCCGGGUGACAGAGUGAGACUUAAUCUCAAAAAAAAAAAAAAAAAAAAAAGUUGAAUAUAAAUUUCUGUAGUCUAAGUCCAUUUGUGACAUCCCAACAUGUUUUCAAAAGUAACACACAUACUAAAUCAAGCCAUCAAGAGUAACUGGGGAAAUUUCCUAAAAUUUACAUGCUAACAAUAUCACCAUUUUUCAUUUAUUACUUUCACUGAGCAACUUUGAAUCUAUGGUUACAGCAAAUGAGGCAUCUUGUGUAAAAUAAAGCUAAUACAUGAAACAAAACAUUUAAAAUUCUAUUGUUCUCAGAGAAUGGAGGAAGCAACUGAAGCCAUGGGCGUGGAGGUGAUUGCUUUGAGAAGUUGUGUACAGUAAGGAGAAGUGGGAAGAAAGAAGAUCUGGAGAAUAGGGUGAUUUACACGGCAUUAAGUGAAGCCUGCAAAAGUGAGCACUGGGAGUCAAGAGACCUGCAUACGAAUAAGGAAUGGCUGCUCCUGAGUGACAAAGGGAGUAAAAAACCACAGCCAUGGCUCGGGAGACCAGUGAACCUCCAGAAGAGUCCAGUGAGUCCAGAAGCCCUUUGGAUGCUGGUCAGAGGCUCCUUUUGGGCAGAGAUCACAGCAGCAGCCAACAGAUCUGGAGAAGUCCUUAGAGUUCUCAUGGACAGAGCUUCUGAAGGCAACUUACACAAGACCUUGUCUUUGCUGGUUUUAUGAUCCUCUGCAGAUGGCUCUAUUCUCAUUAUCUCAGCCACCUUUCACUUCCUAUCAGUUCAUUUCAGGUCUCUCAUGAUCCCAGGCAGCAGUAGUUAUCACUUGAGUUCAUUCAUAUAUGUUUAACUCUUUGGGGAUGGGGGGACAACUCACUGUGGACUUAAUUCUACUGGAGAUGAGUGACCACAUUUUAAGACAACAGGAUCACAAAUUAUCAUAUAUCAUCAGGGCAGACAAUAGCUACCACCUGGGGCUGAAAGCAGGUAACUCCAUUUAUUCUGAAAACAUUCUGUCUUGAUUAUGGUGCCAGUUGCUGCGAGGGACUUCCUUUCCACCACCUGUUUUUCACAAGGUUUGAGUCUGAACUGCGAAUAGUCUACUGAUUUCUGGGUGAAGGGACUGACUGCACCAUCCUAGCCUGUCAGAGAACUUUCCCCAGUACUUCCACUGUAAGAGUUUUCCACCUUGUCCAGAACUACAGUCCAUUAAUCCCCUCAUUUUCUCUCUUAAGAGAAUAAACAGGCCAGGCAUUGUGGCUCA